GCUGGUUUUAUUCUUGGUGACAUUCAUUCUGUUGGAAACUUGGCUCCAGUGUUUGACAGGACAAGCAGAGGUGGGUGCCAUGCUCUGGACCUCCAACUGCGAUCUAAGUAAGCCUCUUUUCUUCAUAAAGCACCCAGCCUCGACGGUCCCAUUAUAGUAACACAAAGCAGAUAAGUAUAAAUCAUCUGUAAAAUAUCUCCGAUAAAUAGAAACUGGCUACUGUGGUUUGGAUACCGUGUGGGUGUGUCCCCAACGCAGGGUGUUCCUGUGUCGCAAGUGUGGUCUUCGGUGUGGCAAGUUUAAGAGGUGGUGAGGCCGGGUGUGGUGGCGCACACCUGUAAUCCCAG
rnacentral:lncRNA from 1 species